CAACCUGCCGUCUACUCUUGGACAGCCUUCUGAAAGGAAGAUUAAUACAAGAUGGCAUCAUGAGUCCGCAUGUUCACAUGAUUAAAGGUAUUCCGGUAGACGAUGGGGAUGCGUUCCAUUAGAUAGUAGGCGGGGUAACGGCCCACCUAGUCUUCGAUGGAUAGGGGUUCUGAGAGGAAGGUCCCCCACAUUGGAACUGAGACACGGUCCAAACUCCUACGGGAGGCAGCAGUGAGGAAUAUUGGUCAAUGGGCGAGAGCCUGAACCAGCCAAGUAGCGUGAAGGAUGACUGCCCUAUGGGUUGUAAACUUCUUUUAUAAAGGAAUAAAGUCGGGUAUGGAUACCCGUUUGCAUGUACUUUAUGAAUAAGGAUCGGCUAACUCCGUGCCAGCAGCCGCGGUAAUACGGAGGAUCCGAGCGUUAUCCGGAUUUAUUGGGUUUAAAGGGAGCGUAGAUGGAUGUUUAAGUCAGUUGUGAAAGUUUGCGGCUCAACCGUGAAAUUGCAGCUGAUACUGGAUAUCUUGAGUGCAGUUGAGGCAGGCGGAAUUCGUGGUGUAGCGGUGAAAUGCUUAGAUAUCACGAAGAACUCCGANUG
rnacentral:rRNA from 1 species